UUCGUCCAUGUCCCUGUAAAGGACAUGAACUCAUUCUUUUUUAUGGCUGCAAAGCACUUUUUUUUUAAACACCCCAGUCACAUGCAGUCGGUCACAGAGACUCAGGGACACGCUGGUAGAACCCCAUCUCCAUUUUACUUAUGGGUAGACACACAUGUUCCCACGCACCCCACCCCUCCUCCUGGCCCAGCCUCACCUCCUCCUGUGUGGGGUGAGGGCAGGGAACAGAUGAGGAUAGGAGCAGGCGGGGAAUGAAUGGGGCUUUGGUAGGUCCUGAGCCUCCCCCAACUGCCACAUACUUUCUCAGGCCCGCCCUGGGAACCCCUCCCCAGCUGAGGAGGUAGGUGAGAGCCGCUGCUGUCUGUGGGCUGCCAGCCCACUAUGUUCUUCUGCAACCAGGAGGGCCGACAUGGGCUGUGUGUGUACUAGGGGGUGUCACGAGUUCACUCAGUAAACCCUCCCCUGUGGGGUGCCAACCCUCUGCCUCUCACUCCUGAUGGAUGGCUCACGCUGCCACCGGGGACAAACCGCUCUGUGUGGGACCAGGGGUUGCAUUUCUCUCUGGGCCUGGGAUGCCUGGGGUCCGUGGGUCCCCACGGACCACUGGGCACGGACAAGCUGACCCCACCAGGCAGGGAGCAGCCAGAGAGAAUGAAGGGCAAGGAGGCGGCUGAGGCAGAGGGAGUCGGCGAGAGGUGCAGGACAUCGGUGGACUCGGCCCCUGAUCUUGCAGACAUUUCUGCAGCAAGUGCUUAUUGAACACCGACGGCAUACCAAGGACCCAGCGGAGCCUGGGCCGGUCCGGAGCCUGGGCCGGCCCGGCGCUUCAGCGAUGCGGUGCCUUCUGUGAUUGACAUCUGCGGCAAGCGUUGCCGGCGGGGGUCCCAGGAGCUCCCCAGCCAAGGGCCGCGGGUACUGCAGGGCUGCGUGGGGCCGCAGUGCCCCCUGGCGGCAGAACGGGACAUGAAGGGACUCGGUGCGCGCCGCGUGGCUUGCAGCCCAGGUGCCCUGAGCCCACUUCCACGUGGGCACUCGCUUCCCCAUGGACGCGGCCCCUCUCUAGCAGGCCUCCUGGUGACAGCACUGGCUCCUGAGGCCACUGUCGGUGCCUGCCGGGACCCCACUGCCCUCCCUCCCCGAUUAGUCUGCAAGGCUGUCCCCUCUCCCAAGCUGUGGUUUGGGGUGUGCCAGGGAAUAGAGGUUUCAGGUCUCUCGGCCACUGCCCUGGCGCCUGGAUCUCAGACAGUCACCCUGGGGGCUGCCCAACAUGCCAGGGGAGCUGACACUUGGAGAGUUUCCUCAACAGGGACCCCAGGCUGUGCCUGAGGCCAGGGAGAAACACGCAUGAGGCCGUCCCACAGUCCCCACCGCCAGGAGCACGCCAUUCCUAUGUGGGCAAGAGGACCCCAGCAUGAUUUGAAAAUGACUACAUUGUUUCCAGUGAGAACCACGUAACAAUGGGCAAUAAAUGGUCUCCAGAUUUGCACUUUA